AGGCAGGAGAAUUGAUUGACCCAGGAGGUGGAGGUUGCAGUGAGCCGAGGUCAUGCCAUUGCAAUCCAGCCUGGGUGACAGAGCAAGACUGUCUCAAUAACAACCACAGCAAAAAUGAAUAUACAUGUUAAUUUCAAAUGAAUUAAUAAACAUGUUUUACUUUCUAGUACAGUAAUUAAUCAUAGAUAUAGCCCACAUAAACAAAAGCUCUUU
rnacentral:lncRNA from 1 species